rnacentral:lncRNA from 1 species
GCAACCCAAGGCCAUCUUCUUUGGUGUAUGGGAAUUUAGGGUAAGAGUUAAUGAUCGCUUGAUCAAGUCCACCUACAACGACGUUACUAGAAACAGGUGACUCUAGAUCAUCGUCUGCGGCUACGAAUAUGAUUCUUGGGACGAUUAUGCUACGGUUACCGAAAGAAGAAUCCCCGUUUACGGCGGAGGCAGAAAAGCGGAGGCGAGAGGCGCGGCAACAAAUGAGGAUGAUGGUGGAGAUAAGAAGGAGGAAACCAAGAGCUAUGGCUAUGGGGUAGCCAAGACCGAGGGUAGUUAUAUAAGUAGGGAUAGGAACCGGAGGUGGAGGAGGAAAGAUGGCGGUGAUGGCGGCUGUUGACAUCUGAUGGUGAAGAAAUGGUUAGGGCCAUGUGGGAUUGGCGAGAGAGAUUAUUAUUUUGUUUGGUGGGUUCGAUCCAGGGUUCGCCUUAUUGAGUUUAUAUCCCUCAAGCGUCACUGGACUACCACCAAUGAAUAUAUAUUAUUACAUAAACAAAUUUUGAAAAUUGAUUUCUCAAAAAUAAUGAUUAGGAGAUAGUUUUCUAGUUGUUUUUUUAAGAAUCAAAUAAAAAGAAGAAUCUAAUAAAAAUAAAAUUGGAUGUGUUUAGGGAAGACAAUGCUCUUGACAGAAGUCACGAGGAUUUUGCUCCUUGAACGAGAAGCUGCUCCAAAGAGACACGUUAUUCAACUGUAUUGAUAAGAAGGCAACUGUAUGACACUAGAAAAUUACAAAACCAGGAACAGAGUUAUCGUUUCAACCUCUUAUGCAGUUAUGAAUUCUUGUGGAGGGAACCAAACAUAAGAAAUC